rnacentral:rRNA from 1 species
ANACNUGCAGUCGAGCGAACGGAUAAGGAGCUUGCUCCUUUGAAGUUAGCGGCGGACGGGUGAGUAACACGUGGGUAACCUACCUAUAAGACUGGAAUAACUUCGGGAAACCGGAGCUAAUGCCGGAUAACAUAUAGAACCGCAUGGUUCUAUAGUGAAAGAUGGUUUUGCUAUCACUUAUAGAUGGACCCGCGCCGUAUUAGCUAGUUGGUAAGGUAAUGGCUUACCAAGGCGACGAUACGUAGCCGACCUGAGAGGGUGAUCGGCCACACUGGAACUGAGACACGGUCCAGACUCCUACGGGAGGCAGCAGUAGGGAAUCUUCCGCAAUGGGCGAAAGCCUGACGGAGCAACGCCGCGUGAGUGAUGAAGGUUUUCGGAUCGUAAAACUCUGUUAUUAGGGAAGAACAAAUGCGUAAGUAACUGUGCGCAUCUUGACGGUACCUAAUCAGAAAGCCACGGCUAACUACGUGCCAGCAGCCGCGGUAAUACGUAGGUGGCAAGCGUUAUCCGGAAUUAUUGGGCGUAAAGCGCGCGUAGGCGGUUUCUUAAGUCUGAUGUGAAAGCCCACGGCUCAACCGUGGAGGGUCAUUGGAAACUGGGAAACUUGAGUGCAGAAGAGGAAAGUGGAAUUCCAUGUGUAGCGGUGAAAUGCGCAGAGAUAUGGAGGAACACCAGUGGCGAAGGCGACUUUCUGGUCUGUAACUGACGCUGAUGUGCGAAAGCGUGGGGAUCAAACAGGAUUAGAUACCCUGGUAGUCCACGCCGUAAACGAUGAGUGCUAAGUGUUAGGGGGUUUCCGCCCCUUAGUGCUGCACCUAACGCAUUAAGCACUCCGCCUGGGGANUACNACCGCANGGUUGAAACUCAAAGGAANNNACGGGGACCCGCACANNCGG